rnacentral:misc_RNA from 1 species
GAUGAAGAAGGUAGCGAAAUGCGAUAAGUAAUGUGAAUUGCAGAAUUCAGUGAAUCAUCGAAUCUUUGAACGCACAUUGCGCCCGCCAGUAUUCUGGCGGGCAUGCCUGUCUGAGCGUCAUUUCAACCCUCAUGCCCCUAGGGCGUGGUGUUGGGGAUCGGCCAAAGCCCGCAAGGGACGGCCGGCCCCUAAAUCUAGUGGCGGACCCGUCGUGGCCUCCCCUGCGAAGUAGUGAUAUUCCGCAUAGGAGAAGCGACGAGCCCCUGCCGUUAAACCCCCAACUUUCUCAGGUUGACCUCAGAUCAGGUAGGAAUACCCGCUGAACUUAAGCAUAUCAAUAAGCGGAGGA